rnacentral:rRNA from 1 species
CCAAGGUCUCCGUUGGU